AGGGAAUCUCCAAAGGGAAAUACCAAUGAAUACAUGUACGUCAAUAUCUUCAUCUACGUUGGUAUAGUUGCAGCUCUAUUAAUAUUGUUUCUGUUAUAUCUUGUCUACAUUUACUGCUAUCGAAAAAAUAGGAAUUCGAAACCAAAUACCGCAAGUAAAAAACCCGGAUCUACAAACAUUUAUAUGAAUGAUUUAUACUACAGCCAACGGAGAAGCUCUUAUUACGACAAGGCUAAAUAUUAGAAUGUUUUAUUAAACAAAUUCACAAUGUAAAUGUGAUUAUCUCGUGUCGAAUACUUAUAUGUUUAGGGUGAUUAUAAUUUCAAAACAAUAUGGACUAAUAUUUGUACAUUCAAUUAAAAAGUAGAAAUGUAUCAGAAAGAUGAGAAAAGGAUUUACAAUUCCUAUAUGUGUUAUCACAUGCACAACAGAUAAUGGAAAAAUUCUAUCAAACUGAAUUUUCGAAUCUACAUACAUGUAUUAUUAAUCUGAUAUCAAAGAAAACGUCAUCAUUGUUCACGAGUCGGCAGAGACUGUAAUUAAAACAUUUACUAUCUUUGAAUUUAAUUAUAUACUACAUUUGUUAAAGACUUAAUCGUUAAAUAGCAGAAUAACAACACUUUUUUGUUCCAAAAAUUAUCAACAUUUAACUUUUUCGAUCUAAAAAAAAAUAUUUUUUCAUUUCAUUUUUCUUUAAUUUUUAUAGAAAUUUCAAUAUCAAAUUAUAAAAAGUAUAUUUGUGGAAAUAACGCUUAUGUAUUUCGUUUGAAUAUUUAUUGAAAGUAACUAUAUUGACUUAUAUUUUUUCUAUACUGGUAUUCAUGCGCCUCAUGCGACUAAAUGAUUACUAUAAAUGAUGAAAAACAUUUUGUAGUUUUCCUCCAGCAAAUGUUUGAAUCUAUUCGCUCCAUCAACAUAUACUGAAUAAGAAACAUCGAUCAAUAUUUUUUUAAACCAAAAUAUGACCAGUUAAGUGUUAAGGAAAAAAGUUUAAUGUGUAAAUAAUCAAGUAGCUGCAUUGUUGGCGUCAACCAUUUUAUUAAUCUAGGUUAUUAUCUCUUCUCUCGAUCAAAAGUAGCAACGUUAUUUUAGAUCACAUUGUCUCCAGGUGAGAUCACGUGACUCUUUUUUUUACUUACAACAUACCCAAUACAUAUUUUAGGCAUGUUCUCAUAAUUUCUUAAAUUUUUUGUUUAUUUGUUUGUUGAGAAAUAUUCAUCCAGUGUGAUAAUGAAAAAAAAAUUAAGAGUUAAUCAGUGUAGCAAUUUUUGUAGUUAGAAAAAAAGAUGAAAUGAUCUUUAUUGAAUUUUCAUUGAAUAUAGAGCCUGUAUAUUUUGUCUACACAGCUUGUGUAUUCAGCAGUUCAUCUAUAUUUCAUAUAAACUCAAUGUCAAAACAAAUUGCAUGUUUGAAAGAGGCCAAUCCUUUAAAUAAAUGUGUAUAUAGGGCAUCAAGCUUAUGACGCAAAGCCCAAUCAAACAUUGCCGAUAUGUUUCAAUAGUUUACAUCAAGAAGUCAAUCAAACUGAGCAAAGGAUUAUAAAACUCACAUUAUCUGUCAAUUCACUACAAUUCAUGCUCUUCUACACAUGUUUAUCCUUCUUUAAUUACAAUAUUUCCUUUGGAUUUUUUCUCUGAUAUUUUGUAUUCAAUUGCUUCGAUCGAAGCGUCCCACUGAUCCUACACUCUCUUGAGCAUUAAUGUGCAUAUUUAAACGAAAAACACCCAUGCAAGGAUUUCAGCAAAGAGAUACAAAAUAUUGUAUAAUAUAUAUUCUUGACAUAUUUCUCUUAAGUGCAGCUAUACAAGACUAAUUGGUGAUUGUUGUAAAUGUGAACGACAUCGAUAAAGAUUCCAAUCAUAUAUAUAUAUGUGGACUGACUUCAAUUCGAGCACUAUUUCUAAUCAGCCAUUACCCGUCGUCUGACCUUGUUACUCUUCAGUACAACACUGUGAUGGAAUUUGAACAUCUUAUCCUGCCACUUCUUAUGUUAGCGUUAUAUCAUGAAGAAAGAAGUGUGUGACGAUGACGGCGUUGAUAUUUGAGUGAUCCGUAACACACCUUCCUCUGUGUUCGCUAACAAGAAAACGUUUUAGGAAAAUGAACAGAGACAGCAAUUACGAUGGAACUCGAUAGGGUCUUUUACACGUUAACAAUGGCGGCGAACGUACUUUUAUAUUAUACACGUUUUCAUUUGAAAAAAAAUCGUUUUUAGUGGAAUUAAGGUGACAAAAUAUCAUUUAAUAGACCAUCUCUAUUCACGCAAAUCUACUCUCUGAGGUGAACAGAUAAUGAUAUACUGUGUUUAAACUCAGAAUAUAUAUUGAGGAAUACAUUUAGUUACCUAGGUAACGGGCCUAUAAAAAAUAGCAUUUAAAAAUAUUAAAGCUUGAGAGUUCGAAAAUUUUUCAAUUUACAUCUUCCGGACACGAACGUCAAAUGAAAAGGAAAAAAAUCCUGAGCAAUAAAUAUAUUGUACUGCCAUUGUUGUUAAUGACUUGUAUUGAUUAUCCAGCAAUAAAAAAGUGUACAGUUCAGCAACGUAUGUUUCAAAAAAUAUUUAAUGGCAUCUUACUAUAUCAACACCAAAU